CUUCACAAACAUGGCAUCACUGUGUGACCCCUCUCACACUCUCUCUCCCCACUGGGUUGAAGUGUGCUUUCACAACUCUAAAGUGCUUUUUGCUUGAUUGUCCUUGCACUCUGUGUAGAGAGCCACUCGACAAGGUUCAGCUGCUGUAGCACAACUCCUCCUCCUUUCUCUCUCUAUAAUAGGCAUAAUAUCAGUGGGCAUAGUGUAGUGUUUACAUCCCAUCCUCAAGACCUCCUCAUCUGGCAACAUUUAUGUCCUGGUUCCUCUGUAUAAUUACCUAUGGGAAGAGCAUGAUGGUGCAAAGGUUGAUUUCACACGGCUCUCUCUCAACGCCAAGCAGCUUUUAAUGCCAAAGAUGCUAUUUACUGACAGAUCAAUAAGGCCUGUCAAACAACACUUCAGAUGUCAUGUUAGCUCCUCGGAGCGCUGCUGUCUCAGGCUGCCAAAGCCAUCAUCUACAUCAUUCCCGGCUCCAACGGAACACAAUCAGUACAUUUCUAUGGAAAACGCCAAGACAUAAUGGGAGCAAUAUGUUAGUUUUUUUCCCUCUCUGCUGGCUGUGGGGAGAGAGUGAAACAUGAAGGCACAGGCCUGGAAUGACAGAUGCUAAUUCCAUGAGCGACUCCUGAGGAGCACUUUGGGGAGUCCUCUGCUGGAUUGAAAGAAGGUCAUGAGGUGUAGGAGACCUAUCUGAGUAAGAACACAGAGGGUGAGUUCUAGACCGACUAGGUGAAACGCAUGUCCAGUUGGCCCUCCCACGCAUGCUGGCUGCCUCACCUUGGACCACUUUAGAGAUACCAGUUUUUUUAUAGUCAAAGACUACAGUAGCCACAAGGCUCUUGACAAUCAAAGAAACCAUUACUGCAGUUGUUUAACAUAGGAGUCAACCUAUUUCCCUAGUGUCAAAAUGAUUAAACAUUUAUAGUAUGUAAUAAAGUUUAUUUUCAUUUCUACUUCAAAUGGAGCAGUCUUUGUUAAUAGCAUGUAUUAAAUCACAUGAAAUAAUGUCUCACUAGAGCUGGGCGAUAUGGACAAAAUUCCAUAUUGCUAUAAAUUGACACAUUUUUG
rnacentral:lncRNA from 1 species